AAAGAAAUCCCUGUUGGAACUUGCUAUAUUACUCAAUUUGAGUAUAUUUGCAGCAAACCGGGAUCUAUCUUCCAGUUUGUAAUGAUUAUUAUUAUUUUUUUCAAAAGGUCAUAAGAAAAUACGUACAGGUAUGCUAUAUCUAAUGCCAAUAUUUCUUUUUAACUUUGUAGGUUCUUCUGGCAUUUUCUGUCCUUGUUGGUACUAGUGCUUGGGUGGAUUUGCUAGGAAUGAUAGUCGGUCACGCGUAUUAUUUCCUUGAAGAUGUCUACCCUCGGAUGACAGGUCGUCGCCCUCCAAGGACUCCUGCGUUUAUCAAAUCACUGUUUGCUGAUGAUACUGUUGUGGUGACCCGGCCAGCAAAUGUUAGGUUUGCAGCUCCUCAGCACAAGACAUUCACCAAGAUUAGAAUAAUCACUCGGUGAUGAUACCU